AAGACUAUACACUUUCAGGGAUCAUUUCUUUAGUUUGUGUCUUGAUGAAAUGGUGUUUCCACGGUGUUCGGUCUCGCUAACCACGGUGAUGAGUCGUGAUACUCUCUUCUGAGCGUGACGCGGACACAGAAUAACGAUUCAGUUCAUAUGAUCUCUGUCACUGAUGACCGUUAAUUGCCUCCUUUGUGGAGCUUUGAGGAAGAGAAUAAGAUCAGAGCGGG